AGACGGUAUGACAGGUGCUGCAUGGCUGUCGUCAGCUCGUGCCGUGAGGUGUUGGGUUAAGGUCCCGCAACGAGCGCAACCCCUAUCUUUAGUUGCCAUCAGUUCGGCUGGGCACUCUAUGGAGACUGCCACCUAAAGUGGAGGAAGGUGGGGAUGACGUCAAGUCAGCAUGGCCCUUACUCCGGGGCUACACACGUGCUACAAUGGCCGGUACAAAGGGUUGCGAAGCCGUGAGGUGGAGCGAAUCUCAAAAAGCCGGCCUCAGUUCGGAUUGGAGGCUGCAACUCGCCUCCAUGAAGUCGGAAUCGCUAGUAACCGCAGAUCAGCUACGUUGCGGUGAAUACGUUACCGGGCCUU
rnacentral:rRNA from 1 species